AAAUUAAAAAAAAAGGUGUCUAAAAAAAUGACAGAUACAUCAACAAAUAAUAUAUGAAAAGAAAACAUUUCUUUUAAUUAUUCUUCUGGAGCAAUUUACAUAAUAUAUAUAAUUAUUUCAAUAGUUUUCCACUCUUUAUAGAAAUGCGAAUUACCCACUAAACGAUCAAAACCGGCAUAUAGGAUUCCAGACUGGGACAUUCUGUUUCUUAGUUUUCUCAAAAAUUCUGUAGUUUUAAAAAAUAAUAAUAAUCUAAUUGGGAUGCUUGUUAAUAUUGAUAGUAAUUGAAGAAUUGGAGAAUUUCAACCGAUUUGCUAAUUGCGAAGGUUUUUUUCGAUUUGGGUUCAUAUACGGUGGAGGUUGUCAAGAUUGUGUAUGCAUAUAUGUUUUCUUUUUCAUACUGCUAGGUGCUUGCAUUCAUUAGUAAGGAUUGGGUAUAUUUUCUCUAAAAUAGUUGGGAUUGUUUAUUCUUAAUAGAACUUUGGAUAUGUGGUAAAUAUUUUCGUUUUAGGGAGUAAAUUCUGGUACAGAAAUUCCAUAGUAGUCUAACAUCAUCUAUGUAUUCAAUUGAAUGUGUUAUCCGUCUUUUAAGGAUUCAGAAAGUGAUUUGUUUGUAAUUUAUGCUUUUGGUUGGUUUAAAAUAGUUUAACUAUUUUAAUGUUACAGUCCAGAUAGCCUAAUGGUCUCGUGUAUAAAACUUUGGAUAUGUGGUAAAUAUUUUCGUUUUAGGGAGUAAAUUCUGGUACAGAAAUUCCAUAGUAGUCUAACAUCAUCUAUGUAUUCAAUUGAAUGUGUUAUCUGUCUUUUAAGGAUUCAGAAAGUGAUUUGUUUGUGAUUUAUGCUUUUGGUUGGUUUAAAAUAGUUUAACUAUUUUAAUGUGACAGUCCAGAUAGCCUAAUGGUCUUGUGUAUAAAACUUUGGAUAUGUGGUAAAUAUUUUCGUUUUAGGGAGUAAAUUCUGGUACAGAAAUUCCAUAGUAGUCUAACAUCAUCUAUGUAUUCAAUUGAAUGUGUUUUCUGUCUUUUAAGGAUUCAGAAAGUGAUUUGUUUGUAAUUUAUGCUUUUGGUUGGUUUAAAAUAGUUUAACUAUUUUAAUGUGACAGUCCAGAUAGCCUAAUGGUCUCGUGUAUAAAAAACUGCUUUCUAGUCUGAUGUGCUGCAAAAGAAAACUCUCUGAUUGGCUGGAUUAUAAGUACUGUGAAACCAGUCAACUAUCAGUAAAUCGGCGCAUAUGAAUGACUUUAAUUAAAUAAUUCCCUGUGAAACUCUACAAUAAUUAGUUUAAUCGAUCUGUCCUUGGGAUAUGUAGUACUCUUUCUGUCCAUAUAUAACUGUUUUUAGUUAGUAUCUUUCUUGCCCUGUUUUUAGUUAGAGUGUUUGUGUUUGUGAGAUAGUAACUAACAAAUUGAGCCCACUUUCCUUUUUAAGCCAUUGGCUAAUGACUUCGGUUUAUAUCGUAUUAGUUUGCAUGAAUUUGAUUCUUUGAAUAACCUUCUUGUGGUGUCUUGGGUUUAAUUCAAAAUUUUCCGAAUUAUUAAUGGUUGAUGUGGAAAUUUGAUUAGGACAAUGUGAAAAAGUGAUGCUUUAAUUUUCUGAACUGUCAAGAUAUAGGUAUGUUAGGGGAAGCCUACUCUCUGUUUACUGAAAACGAAGGUUUCUCUUUUGUGGACGUCGGCCAUUCAUAUCAACCCAAGGUAUCUCUCUACAAUCUAAUGGUUAACAAUGGAAGUUUAAUAAAACCGUGGGUUUUUAGCUACUUCCAAGCAAUUUUCUUCUUCAUAUCUGGAAAUAUUACUAUGUAAUUCAGAAGUACUUCUGGGUAAGUCUUUUUUUCUCAAUUUUCUACCUUAACUAUUGAUUAAAUCAUUCAUCUCACAUUCUUUUCCUAUUUAGAUACAUACAUAUAUUUUAAUGAAUUUGGGUCUCCCUGGUAUUCUAGGUGAUAGUUUAUUUUUAAUAGAACUUUGGAUAUGUGAUAAAUAUUUUCGUUUUGGGGAGUAAAUUUUGGUACAUAAAUUUGCAUAUUAGUCCAACAUCAUCUAUGUAUUCAAUUGAAUGUGUUUUUCGUCUUUUAAGGAUGUUGCUUUUGGACUCCUUGACGAAGAUAUCUUUCAGUCGCUGCUGCAUGAGAGGCAUGAUACUAUGAAAGUUGUUAAAAGUGUGCGAGAAUUCGGUUCUUCAAAAUCGUUUGGGUGUAUUUAAAGCUGUUAAAGCUGCAUUAUAUUUGUUAAGGAAUAAGAAAACACUAAGUAAAUCAUACCGAGUUUUUAAAACAUAGGCUUUUCUUCUUUUUUCCACGUCCUGCUUUUUUCUCGUUGAAGAUUGGAGACUUUUGCGCUCGUAAUAAAGCUAGGUCCUGAUCGACCAAGUAGUCCUAUCUAUCCACCUCUCCAAACACAAUGUAUUGACCACAUCUGCUGCCAUGUGAUGUUUGGAAAUAGAAUCGAGUCCUUGUAAAUAAGCACUGAAUUUAUUUCACAACGUUUUAAUAAGCACUAAAUUUAUUUUACAACGUUAGUAAGCACUGAAUUUAAUUCAUUCUUAUUCUGCACCAGGGAUAUCCCCGUGUUAUCCCGUACCGGGAUAAGCUAUUCCAAGAUUAUUCACGUCGUAUUCCAUUCCGGUUCAAUAUUUUUAGUGUCCGGUUCGGCUGUUCUGGCAGCCGGUUCAGAUUUUUAACCUGUUUGGACCGGGUUACCUGGCGUAGUUAUUCCAGCCAGGGAUAUCCCAUUUCAGGAAUAUCCCGGCUUGGGAUAUCCUAUUCCUGGGACAUCCCGGCUUGGGAUAUCUUAUUCUAGGGAUAUCCCGGCUUGGGAUCUAGGGGUUUGAGGCUUGGGGCCUGGGUUUUGGGUUGGGAUGGUGUUUUUGGGCUUUUGUUUCAGUGUUUGGGGCUUUGUAUCUCUUAGGUUUUGGAUUACUGGGUUUUGGACUACAUCAGAUAGUGAUUUCAGGGACCAAAAUAUAUACCCAAAAUUUAUUAGCCUUGUAAAUUAUUAAAAAAGAAUUGAGGAUGAGGUUUCUUUUUAAUUGAAAUGGGCUCUUUUUAUAAUAAAUCCAACAAGCCAACUCUAGGCCAUUGAUGACUUUAAUCCAACAAACCAAAUGGACAGUCUGAAUGAGGGGAAGAAAAUAAGGAAGCCAGCCACUAAGAAAUGAAGCUUCUCUCUCCUUUGUUAUAGGAUUUAUGAAUAACCUCGAUUUCAAUCUCUCUCCUCCUGAUAUAUCUCCGGCAGUAAAACUCCACCGUUUCUUUCUAUCUUCGUCAGUUGGUUUUUGGCUCAGAUCGACUCCCGGGUAAGAAUUUCUGCCUUUGUUUCGCAGUUCGAAUCCUUAUUUCUCUUCUCCUAAAGAUUCUUCUCAUUUGAAUCUUUGCCAUUAUCGUUUUUACACAACUUUUGGUUUGGAUUUACGGGUCGAUCAUUUGAAUCUUUGCCAUUAUCUGUGUUGGAGUGUGGUGUGUUUAACUGUUUUGCCAUUAUUUGUUUCACAUGUCGUGUAAAUAAUCGAGAUUCCAAUUCAAAUGAUGAGACAAGUGCUAGGGCUAGUCUAUCCAGAAUCGUUAUGUUAGCUGAAGCUUUAUUUGAGGUUCUGGAUGAAAUCCCCCAGCAGUCUGUGGUUUUAUCUUCUCGACCUUCUGUAUCUUCAAUUUGAUCUGUUCCCGCUUCUAAUGAAGUUGUGGAAUUGCUUCCUGUCAAAAUUUAUAACAAGUCACACAAACUUCAUAAUGAUGAGGAUGGACAUUGUUGGAACACAGCGUCAUACAACAUUAUCAUUCACUCCCUCUGUAAAUUAGGGAAAAUAAAAGAAGCCCACCGUUUACUCUUGCAGUUGGGGUUGAGGGGCUGUAUUCCUGAUGUUGUAACAUACAGCACCAUAAUUGAUGGAUAUUGUCAUAUGGGGAGGCUGCAAAUGGUGUUAAGGAUAAUUGACGAAAUGCAAAGUAAAGCAUUAAAGCCCAACCAUUAUACCUAUAGCAGCGUAAUAUAUCUACUGUGCGAGAUUGGUAAGGUAGUUGAAGCAGAGAAGGCUUUGAGAGAGAUGUUGAACCAGGGAAUACUCUCUGAUAGUGUGGUAUACACAACUCUCAUAGAUGGUUUCUGUAAGCUAGGGAAUAUUGCUUUUGCGUACAAGUUGUUAAAUGAAUGUGUGGAGGUUUCCAUGGCCUUCUAGAUUUGGCAUGUUUUUUUGGGUAGCAAGAAUGGUUAUGAUGAGAAUGGAAUUCACAGCAAUUGUUCCAUUUUCAUAUGUAUAUCAUCGUGGUCUAAUCCGUAAUUCACAAGUAGAGUUUCUAAAUUAUGCUACUACAUAGGUGCCCAUCUUAAAGUACAAUUUUUUCUCAAGUUGUGCUCCCAUUGCUCCAAGACUCGAGAAAUAUCUACCUAAUAUUUUUAUAAUUUUUGUUGAGCAGAAUACUUUUCCUCUCUGUUUUUAGUUGAGAUAUAUUUCUUUUUGCUAAUAUGUUCGGUGGGUUUUUGUCAAGGUUGGUUACUGAAUUACUAUGGGACUUGGGGAAGGGUUUCUGGGUUUGAUUAGUUAAAUUUUGUUUAUUUUUUAAAAAGUGAAAUUUUUAUUUUUAAUAAAAGCAUUAGUUAAAAUAUUAAAAUUUUAAACAUUACAACAAUACAGGUAUAUUCCGGCUUAGGUAGUGGGCUUUUGUUUUUUAGCUAAUUUUAAGCCAUCAAAAUUCUAUGUUCUUUCAAAUAUUUUGUGGUUUUAAGAAUAUUAAUUCAGAUAUCGAAUGCAAUUCUAAAACUAGAAAUUUGUUUCAUCAAAAAGAGUAAGCUUGAAUUUUUUACUUAAGUUUCAGUUUAGGAUUUCGGUUUUGAUUUUUAAAUUUAAUGUUGAAAGCCUUAAACUGAAACCCUAGACAAAUUAUUGUACAACCUAAAUGUCAUGGAAUCAAUGGAAAGAUUUCUUUCAGUGUGCUAAAGACGAAAAUUCAAAUUUAUAUUGCUUGAUUAGGUUGCUUGCUUUCACUAUGUAUAAAUUGCUCUUGUUUAGUUCUAAACUUACAUGGUUGUCAUGGUCCAACUUUGGCACAAAGGUAAAGAGCUUUGCUUUUUAUUUAUUUAUUUAUUUCCAAGUGUUUUGAUUUAGCUUCGGUUUGAGGUUUCGAUUGCAAUGAAUUUCGGUUGUGUGAUAAUUUUUCUAGUAAUUAAAGACGUUUUAUAAUUUUACAAUUUAUAAUAUAUACAAGUAAAAGAAUUGAACAAAAAAUUUUAAAAAUUAUUUUAAUAUAAUGUAUAACUUAAUAAAACAUAAUUCAUAUAAAAAUAAUAUUAAAAUGAAAUAAAAAAUUAUAUUCUUUAUUUCAAAAUUUUCAUGACUUUUUAGUUAAUCUUAAGUUUUCCAAACUUUAUAUUCUUUCAAAUAUUUUGUGGUUUUAAAUAUUUGAGACUGUAAAUUUUGAACAAAAGGAUAAAAAAUAAAUAUAUAAAAAUAGUAAUGUAUACAUGAACAAAUAAUAAAUGAAAAAGAGAUUUUUUUUGUUUAUUAUUAUUUUUCAAUAGAGAAUGCAAUAGAUGAAACUUUAAAUGGCUAGAUAUAUAAUAAAUAAAAACAUAUUUCAUAUUUUUUUUCAAUAAUAAUAAAGAAAUUAAGGGAUCCAUUGGAAACCCCCUCAUAUUUUCCUCUAGAGGUUUUUUGACGCUAAAAAAACCCAACUCAGUAGCACCAAAGCCAGUAGCUAUGGCGGAGUCAAUUUGCAGAGCACUAAGAGACGGAGCUCUAGAAGGCGAGCUCAGAUUCUUUAUAUUUCAGCAACAAAGGUGGAUUCGUUUACCUAUUGGCUCUGGCACCGGAGUUAUGGACUCUGGUUCUAAGUCAUAGGACUCAGAUUCUUUAUAUUGCGGAUAUUAGCUUUGUGAUUAUGUACUUGGAAGUAGUUCCUGGUUGUUUGGUUCUUGAAUCCGGGACCAGUAGUGGCUCCAACGGGACAUGUGUAUACCUUUCCAUUAACAGAGGGCUGCCUCAGCUAGGUAAGCCUUAAUGUUUAUCGUUUGCAAAAGUGCAUUGUGAUGAAAUAUGAUAUGGUAACUGCUUAGGUUGAACUUGAAUUCUGGGUUAUCUUGAGUUGAUGUCUUCAUAGAUCUACAUUUUGUUGCCGUGAUACUUCAUUGUCUCUAAUUGUGUCGGCUUACAGAUCUUUAUUAGUUUCAUUAGUGAGUGCAUUGUUAUGAAAUUUUGGUUUCAAAGAUAGUUAUGAAAUAUGAUUUUAGAAACUGCUUAGGUUGAGUUUGAAUUCUAGGUAGAUUUCAGAAGUCUGUUCAGGUAAAUGUAUUCUUCGAUCGACAUUCAGUUGCUGUCAUGCUUCAUAGUCUCAAAAUUAUCUUGGUUUUAUGGAACCUUGCGUAGGUCUUAUUUAUGAUUCAUAUUUUGUCCCAUUAUAUGGUUUCUGUUUGUCUAAUUGAUAAUAGAAAGAUCAAAGGAUGGUUGUUUUUUUUUUCCUUGAUUCUUCUGUGUUGGUUCGCGAAAGAAGGAAUGUUUUACGAUUUUUCAAAGAGGACUGGAAUAAGCGCUUUAGUCACUGUGGGAGUCCAAGAUAUUCAGGGUGAGGGAUUUCUGAUCAGUUUUCUGGGUUGGCUGACUCCGUAUUUCUGGACCUACCGCAACCUUGGCUAACCAUUCCUUCAGCUUGAAACAUGUUGAAACAAGAUGGAACUCUGUGUUCCUUCUCACCUUGCAUCGAACAAGUGCAACGUUCAUGUGAAACUCUUAGAUCUGACUUUACAGGUUUUAGCUUUUAGGGACAUAGCUCCCCAGGCUCCGACGCACAUUUUAAUUAUUCCAAAAUCAAAGGAUGGCCUAACUGGUUUGUCUAAGGUACAAGUUAUUUUGUCGUCACGACUAACUGAGCAGUAAACAUUUAUGCCCUCUAUCAUAGAGGAAACUACAAUUGUGGCUGGGUAUUAAUUUGGAAAAAAAGUAUGGAGUAUUGUUAAAAGAAUGCUGCUCAAGUUUUGUUAAUUUGAUUUGCCUUUUGUGUUUUGCUCACUCUUGAUGCUAUAUAAGGAAAAGAAAGAGAAGGACAAUGGGAGUGAAAUUAAAUGGAAAUUGUAUCAAGAAAUUCUGGUGGUAGAGACUAAGAGAGUAUUAGUGAUUAUAAGAAGGUGGGGAACUAAAAGAACAUCAAUGCUGAGGAAAACCUUAAAACUUGAUAUGCUAGUAUUGAUAGCUAUAGGCCAUAAAUCCAUGAGAUAAAUUGAGCUUCUAAAUAUAUCCGUACAAUGGA